rnacentral:rRNA from 1 species
GAAUAGGUGAGUUCGUAUAGAAAGUUGACGCCUGAAGAGAGGGCCAGGAUUAUUGCCAAGUCAAUGGCUGAAAAAUCUGCCAGCAAGGUGGACGAAGCUGCUGACGAAGCUGUAGAUGACAAGGAGACUGGACCGGCACAAUGUGAGGAAGAAUCGUUCGCUGCCGAGUUUCGCUCUUUCUGGAACAGAUUCUACGCUCGCUGCUGCGGUGCUACCUUCGACCAAACCACAUCUAUCCCUGCCAUGUGUCACACGAAUCCUGCUUCUGAACGAUCGGUCCAGGCCAUGGACACUCUGCAGAUUAUGUCAGUCAAAGUUGCAUCAAUCAAAGGGGAUUUGCGCUGGCCACUGGAAGUGUAUGGUAUCAUAGCUGCACGUGAUGUCGUGGAUCAGAAGCGCAAUAUUAUUUUCCACCGUCCAAGGACUAACUGCCAAACCAUCACCCAGGAUGAUUGCUACCUAGCACUGACAUGUCCUACCCGUGCUAUUGUCGUGGCAUAUGAGCCUUCAUACAUUGAGGUUUCGCUGAAAGUGAAGGGCACUACAGAACCUGAGGAUAAAGAUUUAAGUGCUCUUGUUGUGGUGUUUAGAGCUGGAUACUGUCCUGAGAGCGUUUACCCUAGCAGGCUUAGCACGCUGGAAUUUAAAUUUGAUCACAUUCAAGAGUCGGUGGAGGCUACAGUCUUUAUUAGAAUCGUUGGCGGGUCGUGGCCAGACGGUUUUCGUGGUGUAUUCCCGUAG